GUGCUCGUUUCGACAGCACAUAUACUGAAAUUGGAACGAAUCAGAGAAGAUUAGCAUGGCCCCUGCCCAAGGAUGACUCGCAAAUUUGUGAAGCGUUCCAUAUUUUC